rnacentral:rRNA from 1 species
CCCUUAGAUGUCCUGGGCCGCACGCGUGCUACACUGGUACAUUCAACGAGUUUACAACCUGAACUGAUAAGUUUGGGUAAUCUUUUGAAAAUGUACCGUGAUUGGGAUAGAUGAUUGCAAUUGUUCAUCUUCAACGAGGAAUACCUAGUAAACGCAAGUCAUCAACUUGCAUUGAUUACGUCCCUGCCCUUUGUACACACCGCCCGUCGCUCCUACCGAUGGAACGAUCCGGUGAAAACUCUGGAUUGGAGGGUUUGGUUGUUGCUUUGCAACACUACCCUUCGAGAAAUUGUUUGAAUCUUAUCGUUUAGAGGAAGGAGAAGUCGUAACAA